AAAGUGUAUUUUAAAAUUCUUUCUUGUCCUUUUUGUUAUCGAGCAAAGAUGUCGAGUUUACUGAUAAGGCUUAUGAAAUCAUCGUUUUUCUCCACGUAUUGGUAAAUCCAAGUUAUACAAAACACUGCACAUUGAUCUCGAUGAUUUGUUAUAUUUCUUGAAACAAAUAAAUGAUCGAAUUGUGUCAACGUUUAUCUGUUAAUCAUUCAGAAUGCUACUUCAAGUGAAUUGUUUUUCUCCAAAUGUUUAAAUUUAGUACAGUCUCCGUUGCUAAAUUUUUGAUAGUUUAAAAUGACAUUUAGUAAGAUUUGUUUACGUUAAAGUGAUGUUUAUCUCGGUUUCUUCUAACACUUUGCAACUUAUAUAUACGAUAUAAGUUUCAAAACUUUAAAAUCUUUUGAAGUUUCGAAUUUUCAGAAUUAUCCAGAAAUAACAGUUCUAAUUUCUAGUGUACAGUAAAUACAAAAAAGAGUAACAAGAAUUCUUAAUUAUGUGAGUGAAUUUUUAUAUACAAUAAAUAAAAUAUGAUAUUAAAACAAUAUGGAUAUUUCAGGGUUAAAUUUAUACAGCACAGAACAUUCCAGCAAUGUUGUUAUAGUGGGUGUGUUCGAGGAGAUGCUAUUAGCGCUAUCAGCAUCAGUUUAUCCUUAUUCUACUUUUAAUGAGUAAUAAAGAUGGACUGAUGCUGGUAGCGCUAAUAGCGUCUUCCCAAACGCACCCAGUAUUGCUGAAACAUAUCUUUUAUGCUGUAUGUAAAGAAGAUAAUAUUCUGCAUUAUAUAUUUUACAACACCUGUAUUGUGUAAAGUUCCUAUUCUCUCUCUCUCUCUCUCUCUCUCUCUCUCUCUCUCUCUCUCUCUCUCUCUCUCUCUCUCUCUCUCUCUCUCUCUCUCUCUCUCUCUCUCUCUCUCUCUCUCUCUCUCUCUCUCCCUCUCUCUCUCCCCCCCCUCAUUCAUGUUUUCCAUGAUUUCCAUUUUGACUAUAAAACGACAAUUGUAAAACAGUUCUGAUAUUGUAGAAUUGAGUAAGUUUUUAAUCUAUUUUUUUAACUACAUUAAGUUAAAAUUAGUUUGUAAAAUUUAUUUGGAAAAAGAGGCAUUUUAAAGAUAUUUCUGAGCAUUAAUUCCGACAAGAGACGGAAUGCUAAUAUCGAGUGUGUUUCAAAACUGACAAAAUUGUUAGUGCACAGUUUAUACUUAUGAGCUAAGAGUAUUAAAUUGAUAGAAAAAUUAUAUUAAAUUAAAAAAUUGAAAAGUAGGCUCUUUGGAACAAAUGCCAAUGUAGUUGACAGAGCACGAGUUAAAAUUUAAAAAUAUAAUUUUGUCACAAAGUUUACAAUGUACUUAUCUAUAAGUCGUAAAUGUUUUGAUGUGAGAUUUGGAUCCUCUACAAGUCUACAGUGCGAUAAGACAGAGAUACUGCCUCAGAAAUAGACUGGUUUCUUCCCAAACAUUAUAAAAAUUGGUCAUCAGAAGACAACAAGACAGAAUAAUUGUUAAUCAAAAUCAUGAAAGAAACUCAGUUGAUGUGAUCAUAGAUGUCUUUGUGUAGGGGAAUUAAUCCUACAGGAUCCCGUGACAUUUUUUGCUCCCGGAUAUGUUAAGUAGGAACUGUGGGAUCCACGGGAUUUACAUAGAGCUCUUCUGUAAUAAGAAUCUAGAUAAUACA